rnacentral:rRNA from 1 species
AUUGAACGCUGGCGGAAUGCUUUACACAUGCAAGUCGAACGGCAGCACGGACUUCGGUCUGGUGGCGAGUGGCGAACGGGUGAGUAAUGUAUCGGAACGUGCCCAGUCGUGGGGGAUAACGCAGUGAAAAUUACGCUAAUACCGCAUACGAUCUAUGGAUGAAAGUGGGGGAUCGCAAGAACUCGCGCGAUUGGAGCGGCCGAUAUCAGAUUAGGUAGUUGGUGGGGUAAAGGCCCACCAAGCCAACGAUGUGUAGCUGGUCUGAGAGGACGACCAGCCACACUGGAACUGAGACACGGUCCAGACUCCUACGGGAGGCAGCAGUGGGGAAUUUUGGACAAUGUGCGAAAGCCUUAUCCAGCCAUUCCGCGUGCAGGAUGAAGGCCCUCGGGUUGUAAACUGCUUUUGUACAGAACGAAAAGGUUUCUACUAAUACUAGGAGCUCAUGACGGUACUGUAAGAAUAAGCACCGGCUAACUACGUGCCAGCCGCCGCAGUAA